UGUUUUUCCUCUGCAGGUCCCUAUCUCUGUAGGAUAUAAUACAAAUCACUCUAAUGGAUUAAACUCAAAAUGCUGCUCCCAUUUGGCACAGAAUGAGCUCUUACAGAACCCCAAAGCCAAAUGCAUGUCUUCCAAAGAGAAGCAAUAUGCUACAAGGGCUUGGUUCAAGGUUCAAGCCUUAACACUAUUCUAGACUCCAAGGGACAAAGCGGGGCUCCUGCUGAUAAUUUCGGUAAAAUGGGAACAUGGACACCAGCCUCUGUGGAAAAUCCUCAGCAAGUGGGAAAGAACCUGAACUUCUUGCCUCUUCAAAGGAAGCCAUCAUCCAGAGAGGUAGUUUAACCACAGAGGCUUUCUGUAUUGCAAUAAUUAGGACUUCGGAGAUUCCCUAAACAAGUUCCCAUGAGAAAAGAUUUUCUGGGUAAGGUUUCUGGUAAAUUGCUCAGGCCGGAAUUUGAUUACAAUAUCUCUUGCAGUGACAGAAAGUUAAAAAUCACAAUGUAAUAUUGGAAAUGUAUCCCUUCAGCUGCAAUUGGGAUAUAUUAUGUGAUCUGCUGAUACUUGUUUCUUUAUAUUUUCAAAGCCAAGUUAUAUGAAUGUUAUGAACCUUCUGUGCUGGCACUGACUGAUGAAACAUUUUGGAAAUUAUCUGCUCAUACACCUACAUGCUUAGUACAACAGAGAGAUGGAAAUUUAACUGCAUUCAUGACUUUCAUUGACUUUUUUUUUUCCUUAUGAAUUUAACUUUAGUUUUACAGGACUGGAUUCUGUGAAACUAAGGAGUACACUUGUGCUGCUGCAUGGGAAAUGUCUUGUUUUUAAUGAGUUGCCAACUUAAUGACCUGUGGGAUUUCAAAGUUCCUUUUUUGUUUUAAAGGAAAUGAUUAAUAUAUAUUCUGUCUUUAAUUAUAGUGCUAUAAUUGUGUGAAAGGAAUUCCAUUCAUUCUUUUCUUCAUUUAAAUGUCUUACAUUUGUGAAUGUUAGGCAACAUAAUCUUCUAAAAGUUCUGUCUGCAAAACAGAAGUAUAAUAUUAUUCACUUUCAAAUAUGAGAGUAAUGGGAGUACUGGUAUUCCUCAGUUUAGGGCAGAAUAUUUUGAUUGCUGCUGUAAAAGGAUAGGCCAGUUAUUUAAAUAAUUGCUUGACUAAAAUAAAAUGAAUUUAUAUGGAAAUAAAUACA
rnacentral:lncRNA from 1 species